CAUGAACGCUGGCGGCGUGCCUAAUACAUGCAAGUCGAGCGAACCACUUCGGUGGUGAGCGGCGAACGGGUGAGUAACACGUAGGUUAUCUGCCCAUCAGACGGGGACAACGAUUGGAAACGAUCGCUAAUACCGGAUAGGACGAAAGUUAAAAGGUGCUUCGGCACCACUGAUGGAUUAGCCUGCGGCGAAUUAGCUAGUUGGUAGGGUAAGGGCCUACCAAGGCGAUGAUGCGUAGCCGACCUGAGAGGGUGAACGGACACACUGGGACUGAGACACGGCCCAGACUCCUACGGGAGGCAGCAGUAGGGAAUCUUCGGCAAUGGGCGAAAGCCUGACCGAGCAACGCCGCGUGAAUGAUGAAGGCCUUCGGGUUGUAAAAUUCUGUUAUAAGGGAAGAAUGGCUUUAGUAGGAAAUGGCUAGAGUGUGACGGUACCUUAUGAGAAAGCCACGGCUGACUACGUGCCAGCCGCCGCGGUAAUAC
rnacentral:rRNA from 1 species